AACGAACGCUGGCGGCAUGCCUAACACAUGCAAGUCGAACGAGACCUUCGGGUCUAGUGGCGCACGGGUGCGUAACGCGUGGGAACCUGCCCUUAGGUUCGGAAUAACUCACCGAAAGGGGUGCUAAUACCGGAUAAUGUCUUCGGACCAAAGAUUUAUCGCCUUUGGAUGGGCCCGCGUUGGAUUAGCUAGUUGGUAGGGUAAAAGCCUACCAAGGCGACGAUCCAUAGCUGGUCUGAGAGGAUGAUCAGCCACACUGGGACUGAGACACGGCCCAGACUUCUACGGGAGGCAGCAGUGGGGAAUAUUGGACAAUGGGCGAAAGCCUGAUCCAGCAAUGCCGCGUGAGUGAUGAAGGCCUUAGGGUUGUAAAGCUCUUUUACCCGUGAUGAUAAUGACAGUACCGUGAGAAUAAGCUCCGGCUAACUCCGUG
rnacentral:rRNA from 1 species